rnacentral:rRNA from 1 species
ACGAACGCUGGCGGCGUGCUUCACACAUGCAAGUCGAACGGAAAGGCCCUGCUUUUGUGGGGUGCUCGAGUGGCGAACGGGUGAGUAACACGUGAGUAACCUGCCCUUGACUUUGGGAUAACUUCAGGAAACUGGGGCUAAUACCGGAUAGGAGCUCCUGCUGCAUGGUGGGGGUUGGAAAGUUUCGGCGGUUGGGGAUGGACUCGCGGCUUAUCAGCUUGUUGGUGGGGUAGUGGCUUACCAAGGCUUUGACGGGUAGCCGGCCUGAGAGGGUGACCGGCCACAUUGGGACUGAGAUACGGCCCAGACUCCUACGGGAGGCAGCAGUGGGGAAUAUUGCACAAUGGGCGGAAGCCCGAUGCAGCAACGCCGCGUGCGGGAUGACGGCCUUCGGGUUGUAAACCGCUUUCGCCUGUGACGAAGCGUGAGUGACGGUAAUGGGUAAAGAAGCACCGGCUAACUACGUG